UUAAGCGACUAAGCGUACACGGUGGAUGCCCUGGCAGUCAGAGGCGAUGAAGGACGUGCUAAUCUGCGAUAAGCGUCGGUAAGGUGAUAUGAACCGUUAUAACCGGCGAUUUCCGAAUGGGGAAACCCAGUGUGAUUCGUCACACUAUCAUUAACUGAAUCCAUAGGUUAAUGAGGCGAACCGGGGAACUGAAACAUCUAAGUACCCCGAGGAAAAGAAAUCAACCGAGAUUCCCCCAGUAGCGGCGAGCGAACGGGGAGCAGCCCAGAGCCUGAAUCAGUGUGUGUGUUAGUGGAAGCGUCUGGAAAGGCGCGCGAUACAGGGUGACAGCCCCGUACACAAAAAUGCACAUGCUGUGAGCUCGAUGAGUAGGGCGGGACACGUGGUAUCCUGUCUGAAUAUGGGGGGACCAUCCUCCAAGGCUAAAUACUCCUGACUGACCGAUAGUGAACCAGUACCGUGAGGGAAAGGCGAAAAGAACCCCGGCGAGGGGAGUGAAAAAGAACCUGAAACCGUGUACGUACAAGCAGUGGGAGCACAGAGCAAUCUGUGUGACUGCGUACCUUUUGUAUAAUGGGUCAGCGACUUAUAUUCUGUAGCAAGGUUAACCGAAUAGGGGAGCCGAAGGGAAACCGAGUCUUAACUGGGCGUUAAGUUGCAGGGUAUAGACCCGAAACCCGGUGAUCUAGCCAUGGGCAGGUUGAAGGUUGGGUAACACUAACUGGAGGACCGAACCGACUAAUGUUGAAAAAUUAGCGGAUGACUUGUGGCUGGGGGUGAAAGGCCAAUCAAACCGGGAGAUAGCUGGUUCUCCCCGAAAGCUAUUUAGGUAGCGCCUCGUGAAUUCAUCUCCGGGGUAGAGCACUGUUUCGGCAAGGGGUCAUCCCGACUUACCAACCCGAUGCAAACUGCGAAUACCGGAGAAUGUUAUCACGGGAGACACACGGCGGGUGCUAACGUCCGUCGUGAAGAGGAAACAACCCAGACCGCCAGCUAAGGUCCCAAAGUCAUGGUUAAGUGGGAAACGAUGUGGGAAGGCCCAGACAGCCAGGAUGUUGGCUUAGAAGCAGCCAUCAUUUAAAGAAAGCGUAAUAGCUCACUGGUCGAGUCGGCCUGCGCGGAAGAUGUAACGGGGCUAAACCAUGCACCGAAGCUGCGGCAGCGACACUAUGUGUUGUUGGGUAGGGGAGCGUUCUGUAAGCCUGUGAAGGUGUACUGUGAGGUAUGCUGGAGGUAUCAGAAGUGCGAAUGCUGACAUAAGUAACGAUAAAGCGGGUGAAAAGCCCGCUCGCCGGAAGACCAAGGGUUCCUGUCCAACGUUAAUCGGGGCAGGGUGAGUCGACCCCUAAGGCGAGGCCGAAAGGCGUAGUCGAUGGGAAACAGGUUAAUAUUCCUGUACUUGGUGUUACUGCGAAGGGGGACGGAGAAGGCUAUGUUGGCCGGGCGACGGUUGUCCCGGUUUAAGCGUGUAGGCUGGUUUUCCAGGCAAAUCCGGAAAAUCAAGGCUGAGGCGUGAUGACGAGGCACUACGGUGCUGAAGCAACAAAUGCCCUGCUUCCAGGAAAAGCCUCUAAGCAUCAGGUAACAUCAAAUCGUACCCCAAACCGACACAGGUGGUCAGGUAGAGAAUACCAAGGCGCUUGAGAGAACUCGGGUGAAGGAACUAGGCAAAAUGGUGCCGUAACUUCGGGAGAAGGCACGCUGAUAUGUAGGUGAAGUCCCUCGCGGAUGGAGCUGAAAUCAGUCGAAGAUACCAGCUGGCUGCAACUGUUUAUUAAAAACACAGCACUGUGCAAACACGAAAGUGGACGUAUACGGUGUGACGCCUGCCCGGUGCCGGAAGGUUAAUUGAUGGGGUCAGCGCAAGCGAAGCUCUUGAUCGAAGCCCCGGUAAACGGCGGCCGUAACUAUAACGGUCCUAAGGUAGCGAAAUUCCUUGUCGGGUAAGUUCCGACCUGCACGAAUGGCGUAAUGAUGGCCAGGCUGUCUCCACCCGAGACUCAGUGAAAUUGAACUCGCUGUGAAGAUGCAGUGUACCCGCGGCAAGACGGAAAGACCCCGUGAACCUUUACUAUAGCUUGACACUGAACAUUGAGCCUUGAUGUGUAGGAUAGGUGGGAGGCUUUGAAGUGUGGACGCCAGUCUGCAUGGAGCCGACCUUGAAAUACCACCCUUUAAUGUUUGAUGUUCUAACGUUGACCCGUAAUCCGGGUUGCGGACAGUGUCUGGUGGGUAGUUUGACUGGGGCGGUCUCCUCCUAAAGAGUAACGGAGGAGCACGAAGGUUGGCUAAUCCUGGUCGGACAUCAGGAGGUUAGUGCAAUGGCAUAAGCCAGCUUGACUGCGAGCGUGACGGCGCGAGCAGGUGCGAAAGCAGGUCAUAGUGAUCCGGUGGUUCUGAAUGGAAGGGCCAUCGCUCAACGGAUAAAAGGUACUCCGGGGAUAACAGGCUGAUACCGCCCAAGAGUUCAUAUCGACGGCGGUGUUUGGCACCUCGAUGUCGGCUCAUCACAUCCUGGGGCUGAAGUAGGUCCCAAGGGUAUGGCUGUUCGCCAUUUAAAGUGGUACGCGAGCUGGGUUUAGAACGUCGUGAGACAGUUCGGUCCCUAUCUGCCGUGGGCGCUGGAGAACUGAGGGGGGCUGCUCCUAGUACGAGAGGACCGGAGUGGACGCAUCACUGGUGUUCGGGUUGUCAUGCCAAUGGCACUGCCCGGUAGCUAAAUGCGGAAGAGAUAAGUGCUGAAAGCAUCUAAGCACGAAACUUGCCCCGAGAUGAGUUCUCCCUGACUCCUUGAGAGUCCUGAAGGAACGUUGAAGACGACGACGUUGAUAGGCCGGGUGUGUAAGCGCAGCGAUGCGUUGAGCUAACCGGUACUAAUGAACCGUGAGGCUUAACCU
rnacentral:rRNA from 1 species